rnacentral:lncRNA from 1 species
UUUGCCAGGGUUUAGGAUGCCCUGAGUUAGAUGACACCAUGCCCUUUCUGGGUCUGACACCCUUUUUUCUCUUUAAGGUCUAAAUUACACAAAAUUGAGGUGGGGACAGCAAAAGAGAAAAAAAUACCAUGAGUGAUAAUAAGAAAAAGAAACAAUGAAGAAAGAAGGGAUUAAGUGGAUUGCAGCAUUAUGCAGCAGGCAGAUAAUGAAGAGUUUCUCCUCCAGCUAUGGCUGUCAAACUUUGGCAUACAUCAGAACCACCUGGAACUCUUGUUCAAACCCAGACUGCUGUGCCCCACCCCCUGAGUUUCCGGUUCAGCAAGUCUGAGAUGGAGCCUGAGAAUUUGCAUUUCUCAGAAGUUUCCAAGUGAUGCUGAUGCUGCUGAUUCUCAGGACCACACUUCGAAAACCAUUGACCUACCCUAUGAGUAGAAAAUCAGCACUCUGAGGCUUUCAGCCCCCCCUAGGUGGAUGAAUUACUCCUUUCCUCUUUUCCCUUUCUUCCUCCCAUAAACAUUCAUGGAGCACCUAUCAUGGGACAGGCACCGGUGAUAGGUGCUGGGGAUAAAACAAAUAAACAAACAACUCUUGCUAUCA